ACACCCGGUGAAACUUUCUGAGGGGGAACCGGGGAAGGUCGCGUCCCGCCCCACCCUUCGCCGAGCCGGAGGAAGCGAGGCCGGGAGGGUUUCUCGUCGUUACCACCGGGCGGCCCCCGGCUCCGCCCGCCGCUGCCGGGAGAGCCGUGCGGGCGGCGGGGGCGGCAGCGCCGGGUGCCGCGGCCGCCUCCGCGGGGCGGCCUGACAUGAGAUCAUCGGCGGCAGCGGCAGCAUGGCCUCUGCCAGGAGCGGUGGCCGCACCGGGCCGAAGGACGAGGAGGCCAACGGCGACCUGGACCGCUCCCUGCAGCAGAUGCUGCGGGCGAUAGCGGAGGAGCGGAGCCGCGCCGGCGUCCGCCAGGAGAUCAGCGGCCUCGGGUGUUUCAAAGAUGACCGUAUUGUAUUCUGGACUUGGAUGUUUUCAACAUACUUUAUGGAGAAAUGGGCCCCCCGGCAAGACGAUAUGCUCUUCUAUGUCCGUCGAAAACUGUCGUAUGUCAGUGGUGAUAGUACAGAGGGGAAAAAGCAGGUUGAAGUUGAAGUUUACCGGAGAGAUUCUAAGAAGCUUCCUGGCCUGGGAGACCCCGACAUUGACUGGGAAGAGAGUGUCUACUUGAACCUCAUCCUACAGAAGCUGGAUUAUGUGGUGACAUGUGCUGUGUGCACACGCUCUGAUGGAGGAGAUAUUCACAUUCACAAAAAGAAAUCUCAGCAAGUGUUUGCAUCUCCUAGCAAACACCCAAUGGACAGUAAAGGAGAGGAGUCAAAGAUCAGCUACCCCAACAUAUUCUUCAUGAUUGACAGUUUUGAAGAGGUUUUCAGUGACAUGACUGUGGGAGAAGGAGAAAUGGUCUGUGUGGAGCUGGUGGCCAGUGACAAAAGCAACACCUUCCAAGGGGUGAUUUUUCAGGGGUCCAUCCGCUAUGAAGCACUCAAGAAGGUCUACGACAACAGGGUGAGUGUUGCAGCUAAGAUGGCUCAAAGAAUGUCUUUUGGCUUUUAUAAAUAUAACAACAUGGAGUUUGUCCGAAUGAAAGGGCCACAAGGGAAAGGACAUGCGGAGAUGGCAGUGAGUAGAGUUUCUACUGGUGACACUUCACCGUAUGGGACAGAAGAAGACUCAAAUCCAGACUCCCCAGUGCAUGAGAGAGUCACUUCUUUCAGCACACCACCAACCCCAGAACGCAACAAUCGUCCAUCCUUUUUCUCCCCAUCCCUCAAGAGAAAAGUGCCCCGAAAUCGAAUUGCUGAGAUGAAAAAAUCCCACUCAGCAAAUGACAGUGAGGAGUUCUUCAGAGAUGAUGAUGGCGGAGAUCUGCACAACGCGACAAAUCUGAGGUCGCGGUCCUUAUCUGGAACAGGACGCUCUCUGGUGGGCUCAUGGCUGAAGCUGAACAGAACAGAUGAAAACUUUCUACUCUAUGCACACUUAACUUACAUCACUUUGCCAUUGCAUCGAAUUUUAACAGAUAUCCUGGAAGUGCGGCAGAAACCAAUUCUGAUGACAUAGCAGAGAGCGGGCACUGCCUUGGAGCCUUGUUGCCAAGUGCCUAACCACAGCGGUUUUCUGUGCUAACACUACCAUCUAGUGUCAGGAACAUAAACCUCCGCAGGAAAAAGGGAAGUCCAAGAAUACCAGCCGAUCAAAAGUGCCUCUUUCUUCCUUCCUCUGCUGUCAUACACCGUAUGCCCACUUGCAGUACAUCGCUUGAGUGUUUCUGACCAGAAGAGGACUUUCAGCAAGAUAAAACAAGAAGGGGCUGUGUCUAAAACGAGUCAACGCUUUAUGGACAGUUUGUUACUGUGUUUACUUUAUAACUAAGAAACCAACAAUAUGUACAGAAUGUGUUAAACUUUAUAUUCUUUGAGAGAAACAACAUGAGAAUUUCGUAAUGAUGUACUAAUGAACGUCGUUCCAUAGAUUCUCGCCCAUACACUCUCCGUGUCGGUUUGGCUUAAUGUGUGUGUGAGCGUGUGUGCGUGUGUGCGGGGAUUGAAGAGAUGAGAGAAUAAUUUCCUACUGAGGGAGGAAGAGGAAAAAGAUACUACAAAGAUACAUUACCAUUUUGGUACGUGCAGCGGGUCAGGUCAGAGCUUAAAAGAGGCUGAAAAUGUUCCCAUUUGUUCGUGUGUCACUGUUAGGACAGGUGAACUCUGCUGACAGAUUUCCAUGUCUACCAAAGAACAGCAACAUUUUCAUCCUCAAGAACUGGCUAAGAAAAUGAGCCAGUGAAAAGAAGGCUAAAAUGUGCUGCUAUAGUAAAGCUGAGGUUCAUAUCCAGUACUAAAGCUGCUUAUCUCUCUCUGUUAGCUGAGUCAAUACAAGUUUGAGUCUAAAGUGGAAAAAUAGGAGGCUGUAAUCGGACUCCAAAACCUAAAAACCUUACCAAUAACCAACAUCCUCCUGCAUGCACUGGACUUCAGAGUACGUAGAGUCGUCCUUGCAGUAGCAUUUGUAGCCAAGGAAGGCAUGAGAGCUGAUUGAUGGUCGGACAGCUUGCCCGGAUUCUUCAUCUGAUGGUGUUUCGCUGUGCUGUUACAUGCCGAAGCAUGGAGAGUUUUCUUGAAAGACAAAAGAUUGAAAUGUAAUUCUGUUCUGAAAAGUGACUAAAAAUUGCAUAGUGGGAGGUCUGAAAAUGGUGUGUCAGGAGCUCUCAGGACAAAAGCCUUAUGUUUACAGGUAAAAUGCAGCUUUCUCUAAAUAGCAAAACUCUGCUGUCCUUGACAUUUGAAAGCUAAAUGAUUGAAUACUGAGACUACUGCAGUCUGGUUCACUGUUUUGAUAUGGGAGCCAGUCAAUACUUCAGUUUAUUUACGACUGCAUAACCAGCACAGCAAUGGGUGCGGUAGCGUGUCACUUAGAGCAUGUGAGACUCCAGUACAUGCACAGAGGGAGAGCAAAGAUGCCAUUUUUGUCACUUUUCAGACUCUGAGCACCUAAACUUAACGCUGUUGCCACGGUUACCAAAUGGCAUGUGCUCUGAGCCUGGACCUUUGUCUCCCUCAUACCCAGCCUUUCCCAAAGUGCUUUGUUGUUAUUCUCUCAAUAGCAUCUGAUGACUUAACCUCUCAAAUAGGACUUUCUGCUUUUUUCCUCAGGCCAGGUUCCAUGGGAAUAGCUCCACUUCAGCAUAAAGGUAGACUAACUUUGUCAUUCAGCCCAACAUGGUGAAUCCAGCAUGCAGCGUCAAGAAAUGACAAGUUUAUAGUUCUGGGAAGAACCGGCCGUCUCCUAUGGACUCGCCCUUUGUGUUUAAAAGACUCUCAUGGUCUCCAAAGGUUGUGGCUGAAAGCUCUGGAAAAUGGAUUUCUUGUGAUCACAGCAGUCAGGUAUCUGCAAAUGCCUUAUCUUGUUUUGUGAGGAAUGACUGAAAGUGUGUGGCGCUGGUGUGUAGAAAUUCUGUGUCAAAAAUAGGUGCGGUAGAAUCCAGUUAAAGGCAUUGUGAAAUAAGUACCUUUUACACCAGACCUUAAACGAAAGAGUAUUUUACACCAGAAUGUAGCUGUUUGGAUGCUUGGUCAAGAUAAUACAAGGCUGCAAGCAGGUUACAAUGUUGAACGUUCUCUGUGUAAAUAUAUAAAUAUUCUCAGCCUAAUUUUAUCAGACUAACACAUGUUGCAUGGUUUGGGAUUUUUUUGCCUCAUUGAUCAUCAGUGUUGAUUAAAAGAUGAUGGGUUGAAAAUCAUGCUGGUGCUGUACUGAGCCCUUCGAACAAAGAGCAAGGAGAACCUUUGUGCAUCGAAAAUGGAGUUGACUUUGCAUAUGGCAGCAGUGAAGAAAGUGUUGGACCCUGCAGCCAAUAAACAGACCUCUUAAACGACCAUGAAUUCUGUUAAUGGUGUUUUCUCUCUACGGUGCCUAGUGAUGUUUGAGUUUGAAUGUAUUCCUUACUGGUGGCAAGCAUAAAUGACGGAAUAACGCUUUGUGGCACUCAUGGUAACCAUUGCCAAAUAGACACUCAUGAGGCAAAGUAGCCUCUUUACUCUUCAUUCUCAUUCCACUUUGAGUGAAGCCCAACUUCUGACUGCUUGCUGAAUCUUUCAGUGAUCAGCCUCUGACAACUUGACAUUGUGUAAGGGAGAAGAAGGUGAAAGUCAAUGUACUCCUGAAUUUUGUUUAAAAAAAAGCUUUUUGUUUUUUCCUUUAGAUGCUAGCAUUAAAAAAAAAAACAAACCCCAAAA